ACGACCUUACUUGAACAGGAUCUGUUCUAUAGGCUCGUACCGCUGCAUCCUUUACCAAUAAGGAGGCAAGCACUUCAGUCUGGUUGAUGCAUUCUGCCCUCUGGACCAGAGCGUGAUUAACGGCCAGGAUUCCCUGAUGGGGCAAUCCGACGGCUGUAGAGGAUCGUUCCUGCCUGGCUCACACCUGUGCAGGGUGGCCCAGAGGUUGUCUGACAGACU
rfam:Triticum aestivum genome assembly, contig: Triticum_aestivum_CS42_TGACv1_scaffold_375969_5AL